CUCCUACGGGAGGCAGCAGUAGGGAAUCUUCCGCGAUGGGCGCAAGCCUGACGGAGCAACGCCGCGUGAGUGAGGAAGGCCUUCGGGUUGUAAAACUCAGUCACCUGGGAAGAGAGGUAUGGGGAGUGGAAUGCCCCAUACGAGACGGUACCAGGGGAGGAAGCCCCGGCUAACUACGUGCCAGCAGCCGCGGUAAUACGUAGGGGGCAAGCGUUGUCCGGAAUCACUGGGCGUAAAGCGUGCGUAGGCGGUCUUUCAAGUCCGGGGUGAAAACUCAAGGCUCAACCUUGAGAAUGCCUUGGAAACUGGGGGACUUGAGUACUGGAGAGGCAAGGGGAAUUCCACGUGUAGCGGUGAAAUGCGUAGAGAUGUGGAGGAAUACCAGUGGCGAAGGCGCCUUGCUGGACAGUGACUGACGCUGAGGCACGAAAGCGUGGGGAGCAAACAGGAUUAGAUACCCUGGUAGUCCACGCCGUAAACGAUGAGUGCUAGGUGUUGGGGGUUCAUCCCCUCAGUGCCGAAGGAAACCCAAUAAGCACUCCGCCUGGGGAGUACGGUCGCAAGACUGAAACUCAAAGGAAUUGACGGGGGCCCGCACAAGCAGUGGAGCAUGUGGUUUAAUUCGAAGCAACGCGAAGAACCUUACCAGGGCUUGACAUCCCUCUGACCGGUUCAGAGAUGGACCUUCCCUUCGGGGCAGAGGAGACAGGUGGUGCAUGGUUGUCGUCAGCUCGUGUCGUGAGAUGUUGGGUUAAGUCCCGCAACGAGCGCAACCCUUGACCUGUGUUACCAGCACGUAAUGGUGGGACUCACAGGUGACUGCCGGCGUAAGUCGGAGGAAGGUGGGGAUGACGUCAAAUCAUCAUGCCCUUUAUGUCCUGGGCUACACACGUGCUACAAUGGGCGGUACAACGGGAAGCGAGACCGCGAGGUGGAGCGAAACCCAAAAAGCCGUUCGUAGUUCGGAUUGCAGGCUGCAACCCGCCUGCAUGAAGCCGGAAUUGCUAGUAAUCGCGGAUCAGCAUGCCGCGGUGAAUCCGUUCCCGGGCCUUGCACACACCGCCCGU
rnacentral:rRNA from 1 species